AUGCUACGGCUAGGGUGUAUCACACCCAGUGUCAACCCGUUUGCUUCUCCGGUACUCUUGGUAAAAAAGAAGGAUCAGACUUGGAGAUUCUGCGUCGACUUCCGACAUCUCAAUGCAAUAACCAUCAAGUCAAGAUAUCCAAUGCCCGUGAUCGACGAGCUCUUGGAUGAAUUGGCAGGUUCCACCUGCUUCUCAAAGUUGGAUCUCCGGGCAGGCUACCAUCAGAUCAGAUUGUUGCCGGAGGACGAGCACAAAACGGCUUUCAAGACCCACCAUGGCCACUUUCAGUUUUGGGUACUGCCGUACGGCGUGACAGGUGGGCCUCCUACUUUCUAG
rnacentral:rRNA from 1 species